rnacentral:rRNA from 1 species
GAACCUUACCGUGGGUUUGACAUGUACGGUGGGUACGAUAUAGAAAGUUGAAGGACUCCCGCUUUCGGGUGGAGAGCGUACACAGGUGCUGCAUGGCUGUCGUCAGCUCGUGUCGUGAGAUGUUGGGUUAAGUCCCCGCAACGAGCGCAACCCCUGCAUUCAGUUGCCAUCGGGUGAAGCCGGGCACUCUGGAAGGACUGCCAUCGACAAGAUGGAGGAAGGUGGGGACGACGUCAAGUCAUCAUGGCCCUUAUGUCCAGGGCGACACACGUGCUACAAUGGCCGGCACAACGGGAAGCGAGUUCGCGAGGACGAGCGGAUCCCUUAAAGCCGGUCGCAGUUCGGAUUGAAGUCUGCAACUCGACUUCAUGAAGCUGGAAUCGCUAGUAAUCGCAGAUCAGCCAAGCUGCGGUGAAUACGUUCCCGGGCCUU